CUCAUUAUUCUUCUGGAGCCAGUCAAAAUCUCAAUUGUUAGUUACUGCUGGUCUUGACUGUUCCAAAUAUGUCUUCUUCUUUUCUUUUUUUUUUUUUUUCUCUCUCCUCUCAGCCAGUCCCUUCUCUCCUUGCUUUUUUCUUGUCGACGUUCUUUCAACUUAUGUUUCUUUAUUCUCCAAAGCUUCCUUGCUUCCUCUUCUUUAUUUCCUAAAUCAGUCCAGUCUAGUGUCUUCAGUCUGCAGGCACCUUUUCAGCACUUCUACCAGUUUACUGGCAUUCUUCUACCAGAACAGUAUGAAGAAAGAUUUUGCUACUGGUGGAUUGCCGUAGGUACAGUGAAGGAUGUGCAGCACCUUGAAAUGAAAAUUUUGCUUCAGCAGUUUGGUGCCUAUCCCUUGCUGUUCACUACUCCUCUAGGCAGAACUAUUUUGACACUUCUUUGUGACUGUCUGAAAUAAAGCACUCCAAACAUUUAGGAUAUUCUUGGUCUGACUUCCAGGAAUUUCCCUGGUUAAUGUGUUACUAAUCUCUUUUUAUAGAGGUCUUUUUAUACAAGGGGAAAUAUUUAUUGUGUGGGUACUAGGUAGAUGCUAUGCUAUGGAAUGGAGUGUACAGCCAAAGAGCAGUUAUUUGGCUGUUAGACUUGGAGACGCUGUAAUCUGAAGUAAUAAAAUAAUUCAAAGGAAAAUCUAUUGAAGGGAAGUAUGAUUACCCGAGUAUCUGCUAAGCUAUGUUUUGGACAUCCUGUUUUACCAGGAAGGUAGUUCCCAUUCAGCUUCCUAAAUCACAGGCAGCACUCUGGUGAAUUCGGGGCCAAGUUCUUGCCUGUCCCAGGAGAAUCAGCAGUGCCCAGCUGUUGCUUCUCACUUUUCUGUCAGGCAUAAACACGCAUCUCCUUUCUGUCAGAACACAAAAUUCAGUAAGUGCUUUUCAGAAUUAAAUAGAGGGGCAUUUAAAAGAGAGGACUUUUAUUAGCUGUUAGGAAUAGGCCUUUGAACUUUGCCAUCCACUUUAUUCUCUUCUGAGAUUUUUCCCUGGGAAUCCAUUUAGUGGGGAAAAAAUGCUAGUGGGUGAAUUUGGGUGAAUAUUUAAAAACAUUACUCAAACUUUCUGAAAAAUAGUAUUGUUCUCAUGCUUGUCUCUGAAUCCAUGGCCCAUUCAAACUUUUCAGGCCUGGCUUUUGGCUUGUGUGGUUCUCUCAUCUUCCCUGGGAAACUUCUUGGUGGUCCCAAGAGAGCUUCUAGGGCUCUCCUGGUAGGUCUCAGUCCUAGAGGCAGAGUGAUGAGAAGCUGGGCCAGAGGAGGAAAGAGGUAGCAAGUGUGAGCACAUGCUUCUUAAUUGGUCUGGCCUGUCCUGCACCUCACUCUAAAGAUAUUUGCAUGAGUUUAAUUGAAGUAAAUAGUCUGCUUUUCCCCUGGACUGGAUUAGGACUGCUCACAAGUUUAACAGACAUCUGCAGCUGAUUUCAGAACUGCAGGAGUGUGGCCUGUGCUUGUCUUCCUGCAGUUGCCGUGCUAGGUCCUUCCAAAUCCCUCUGACUUGGACCACAAUUACCCAUGAAGUUGUCUGUCUGCUUUCUGGCAGGUGGCUUUCAAAGUCUCUGUUCAUGUCAAGGGCAAAGCUCAGUGACUGCAGACACCCAAGAGCUGGAGGACCUGGCCAUUUCUGGAAGUCUGUGUGUGGGCACAAAGACUGUUAGGUGAAAUGGGAACUUCAGAACAACAGCAUCUUGGAAGGUUUGCCAGCUCAAGAUCAGGUUUCACCUGAUUCCAGCAAGUAACGUAGAAACCUGAUACCUAAUUCAUAAUUUGAACUGUAAGCCUGUCAUCUUUCAAAACAGCUGAAGAAAUAAAGAAUGAAAGAUAAAGAAGAUUGUGAUACUGGGUAAAGGCAGAUUUUCCUGUAUUAAGUACAACAGCAUAUAAUCAAAUCAAUGAUGCAAAUUAAUAUAGGAGGAUUAUUAUUUUUAACCAUUAUGUGAAGAUUCAAUAAAAAUAAUCUGAAGCUUUAAUUCAAGCCAAGCAGAAGCUGCUUGAUGAGUUAAUAUCCUCAAAGUAUGGACUAUGUUUUUGUUAAAACCUUUCACUUCUGUAAGCACAAAAUGCCUUGUUUCCUAAAUGUUUGUAGUAGAGUUGUUGCUAUUGUAUUUUAAACACUUUUAUUGCUCUUCGUAUACUGCUACGUUAUGUUUCCAGAUAAAAAUAAUCUUUCCUAUUUGGCAUACUAAACAUGUUUUGGCAUGCGUUUGUGACUUACUGUAUAUCAUUAAACCACUUCUGAGGGAGGAAUCAUGGUCUGACAAUUAGUUUGUAUUUCAGUUGGUUCAUGGGAGGAUAUGGACAUUCACAGUAAUGAGCUUUUUAGUUGCAGUUUUGCAUUAUUGCAUGUAGAUGAGUAGAAACAUCUGUAUUCUUGUUUUUCUGUUAGUCAGACCUAGAAGGCUGCCUUAGAAUACAGCUGAAAGCAAUGAAGGAAUCCAUUGUAGAUCAGUUUCUUCUAUUGCUCACCCAGAGUUUUGGGCUUAAAUCUUUGCUGACUUCAAUGUGUUAUAAAAACAGAGGUGCUCCUUGUCAGACUUUUAGAAACAUCCUCUUAUGGUUUUACAGACAAUUGCAAAUAGAGUUUUCUUGUGUUAAUUCUGACUGCAGAAGUGUGUAUAUAUACAUUAGUGUGUCUCUUUUUUUCCUCUGUUGAUGUGGUGACAGUUGGCAGGUGCUAGCUUCCAAUAAGUGAGAGCUGUAAGCUGCACAGCUUGGUAAUUGGCAUAGAAGUUGGGUAAGGAAAUUGCCUCCUUCUCUCAUACUACAAUAUAGUCUUUUAAGACAAGUUCUUUUCCUUUUCCAGAGAAAAUCAGCAAUUAUCCAGUCUUGUCAAAGAAAGUGCAUACAUAUAAGCAGCAUGGGGAAGAUGUACUCAUCCUCAAAAAAGCUUGCAUUUUGCUGAACCAACUAUGGGCUGACAGCUCAGCAUCACCAAUGAUUUUUGAAAACCAGCCUAAGAACGCCUGAAAGUUAAAGUGGAUGCUGGUUGGAAACUUUAGGUGUAUAUGUGUGAAAUGAGUAGCAAAAGUUAAUUCUGUCAAAGAAAAAAAAAAAGUUUUGAGCUUUCAGUUAUGCAGAGAGUGGGUCCUUUUUUCCCUCCAUUAAAAACAAAAUGUCUAUACGGUGUGUAUGAAAAUGAUUUCCUUGCUCCUCAUUUUUGUUUCUCCUGGUUACUAUAAAAUGGUGGAAAAAAAAAAGUUCUCUUUUUCCAAAUUAGAGGAAAGAGUCUUCUCCUGUGAUUGUUUCAACUUUUUCCAUCUUUAAGAUGAUUUGUUAGGAGUAUGCUUAUAAAUUAAUUUUUAUUGGAACAGCUCUUUGUGUCUCAAAAGCAGCCUGGUGCACAAACAGACUUUGUAUGAAUAGUAAUAAUGAGGUCAAGUAAGAAGAUGCAGCAAUCUGAUGAAUGACCAGGAAGUGAAACAGCUACAGUUAGAAACAUCAAGGCACUUGUGAAAAGCAUAGAAAUAUCUUGGUGUGUUCCUCAUCAAACACAACACCUUCUUCUUUAAAUUCAUGGUACAAGGAAUUUUCUUUCAAGAAAUAUAGGAUUCUUUGGACAGAUGAACAACUGUUCUUUGUAUAAUAUUUGUAUUUGAAACCUUUUAGGAAAUUCUAAUGGAACAUGAUUUCUUUGUCAAUGCAUUACUUAUUUAGGAACCUUGCCAGUACAGUCUUCAGACGGUAACUAUGAGGCUUAUGCAACAUGUUACUUUA